rnacentral:rRNA from 2 species
UGGGGGAUAUUGCACAAUGGGGGAAACCCUGAUGCAGCGACGCCGCGUGGAGGAAGAAGAUUUUCGGAUUGUAAACUCCUGUCGUUAGGGACGAUAAUGACGGUACCUAACAAGAAAGCACCGGCUAACUACGUGCCAGCAGCCGCGGUAAAACGUAGGGUGCAAGCGUUGUCCGGAAUUACUGGGUGUAAAGGGAGCGCAGGCGGACCGGCAAGUUGGAAGUGAAAACUAUGGGCUCAACCCAUAAAUUGCUUUCAAAACUGCUGGCCUUGAGUAGUGCAGAGGUAGGUGGAAUUCCCGGUGUAGCGGUGGAAUGCGUAGAUAUCGGGAGGAACACCAGUGGCGAAGGCGACCUACUGGGCACCAACUGACGCUGAGGCUCGAAAGCAUGGGUAGCAAACAGGAUUAGAUACCCUGGUAGUCCAUGCCGUAAACGAUGAUUACUAGGUGUUGGAGGAUUGACCCCUUCAGUGCCGCAGUUAACACAAUAAGUAAUCCACCUGGGGAGUACGACCGCAAGGUUGAAACUCAAAGGAAUUGACGGGGGCCCGCACAAGCAGUGGAGUAUGUGGUUUAAUUCGAAGCAACGCGAAGAACCUUACCAGGUCUUGACAUCCGAUGCAUAGCUUAGAGAUAAGUGAAGUCCUUCGGGACAUCGAGACAGGUGGUGCAUGGUUGUCGUCAGCUCGUGUCGUGAGAUGUUGGGUUAAGUCCCGCAACGAGCGCAACCCUUAUUGCCAGUUACUACGAAAGAGGACUCUGGCGAGACUGCCGUUGACAAAACGGAGGAAGGUGGGGAUGACGUCAAAUCAUCAUGCCCUUUAUGACCUGGGCUACACACGUACUACAAUGGCGUUUAACAAAGAGAAGCAAGACCGCGAGGUGGAGCAAAACUCAAAAACAACGUCUCAGUUCAGAUUGCAGGCUGCAACUCGCCUGCAUGAAGUCGGAAUUGCUAGUAAUCGCGGAUCAGCAUGCCGCGGUGAAUACGUUCCC